rnacentral:lncRNA from 1 species
GUUAAAUCUUAAUAAGAUGAAAUCGUGGCAAGGAUGUGGUGAAAAAGGUACACUCAUACACUGCUGAUGGGACUGCAAACUGGUGCAGCCAAUAUGGAAAGCCGCAUGGAGAUUUCUUGGAAAAUUGGGAAUGGAACCACCAUUUGACCCAGCUAUCUCUCUCCUCGGUCUAAAACCAAAGGACUUAAAAACAGCAUACUACAGGGACACAGCCACAUCAAUGUUUAUAGCGGCACAAUUCACAUUAGCUAAACUGUAGAACCAACCUAGAUGCCCUUCAAUAGAUGAAUGGAUAAAAAAAUGUGGCAUAUAUACACAAUUCUUACUCAGCAAUAAAUGAAAUAUUACUCAGUAAUAAAAGAGAAUAAAAUCAUGGCAUUUGCAUGUAAAUGAAUGGAGUUAGAAAAGACAAUGCUAAAUGAAGUUAGCCAGUCCAAAAAAACCAAAUGCCAAAUGUUUUCUUUGAUAUAAGGAAGCUGAUUCAUAGAAAAAUAGGGAGAGGGAGCAUGGGAGCAAUAGAGGAACUCUAGAUAGGGCAGAGGGGUUGGAGGGGAAAGGAGGGGGCAUGAGGUUAUUAAUGAUGGUGAAAUGUGAUGAUCAUUAUUAUCCCAAGUAUAGUUAUGAAGACACGAAUUGGUGUGAAUAUACUAUGUAUAUAACCAGAGAUAUGAAAAAUUGUGCUCUAUAUGUAUAAUAAGAAUUAUAAUGCAUUCUGCUGUCAUAUAUAAAUAAAAAAAUCUUAGUAAGGUGCCUCUAAAUAUAUUC